GAUGAACGCUGGCGGCGUGCCUAAUACAUGCAAGUCGAGCGAGCGGCGGACGGGUGAGUAAUGUCUGGGAAACUGCCUGAUGGAGGGGGAUAACUACUGGAAACGGUAGCUAAUACCGCAUACCAUCAGAUGUGCCCAGAUGGGAUUAGCUAGUAGGUGGGGUAAUGGCUCACCUAGGCGACGAUCCCUAGCUGGUCUGAGAGGAUGACCAGGCACACAGGAACAGAGACACGGGCCAGACUCCUAAGGGGGGCAGCAGUGGGGAAUAUUGCACAAUGGGCGCAAGCCUGAAGGAGCCAGGCCGCGUGUGUGAAGAAGGCCUUCGGGUUGUAAAGCACUUUCAGCGAGGAGGCGUUACUCGCAGAAGAAGCACCGGCUAACUCCGUGCCAGCAGCCGCGGUAAUAC
rnacentral:rRNA from 1 species